AGGCGGUGAGACGGAACCCCGGACUAUCUUGAUGGCACUGACGAGUGGUCGACUUGCAUCGUACUUCAAACCAUACUCUGCUUAAAGGUCGACAUGUAUCGUACUUCAACCGUACGGUAGACUACGUUACCACGCAUAUCUGACCACGCCCUCCUUCCCAGGAAGUGACACACCCGUUCGACUUCAAUUCUGGUGCAAAGUCCAGGGAUCAGGCACAGGAGCUCUGAGCGUUAUCAGUUGCCAAGCUGGGCCUAUUAGUCCAAGCAACCCUUUACCACCAGAAGUAGAAGCCUUGUGGCUACGACAAUAUGUUCAUAUAUAGCCUCGUUCUAGGAAAUCUGGGCUAAAUGCAUGUAAGUUAAGCUUUAUCUCAGAUAAGCCUGUGCAGUCAGCACAAGCUGUUCACUGACGACACUUUCCGCCUCAAAUGGAUAUUAUUUAAGGAGAGACUUCCUUUAAACGAAACAUUCCAUCAAAGCGGAAAGUGUCGUCCCUGAAUAUCCUGUGCGGACUGCACAGGCUAAUAUGGGAUGACACUUGACGAACAAGGCUCAUAUUUAUGAAUAUGAAUUUGUUUUAUUAUACAAUAUUUCUGAUAUGUUUAAUAACAUACAUGUAUUGUUGCCUCUAUAUAGUUUAUGUUUCCUCUAUAAAUU